rnacentral:rRNA from 1 species
CCUACGGGAGGCAGCAGUGGGGAAUUUUGGACAAUGGGCGAAAGCCUGAUCCAGCAAUGCCGCGUGAGUGAAGAAGGCCUUCGGGUUGUAAAGCUCUUUUGUCAGGGAAGAAACGGUGUGGGCUAAUAUCCCGCACUAAUGACGGUACCUGAAGAAUAAGCACCGGCUAACUACGUGCCAGCAGCCGCGGUAAUACGUAGGGUGCAAGCGUUAAUCGGAAUUACUGGGCGUAAAGCGUGCGCAGGCGGUUUUGUAAGUUUGUCGUGAAAGCCCCGGGCUCAACCUGGGAAUUGCGAUGAAGACUGCAAGGCUUGAAUCUGGCAGAGGGGGGUAGAAUUCCACGUGUAGCAGUGAAAUGCGUAGAGAUGUGGAGGAACACCGAUGGCGAAGGCAGCCCCCUGGGUCAAGAUUGACGCUCAUGCACGAAAGCGUGGGGAGCAAACAGGAUUAGAUACCCUGGUAGUCCACGCCCUAAACGAUGUCUACUAGUUGUCGGGUUUUAAUUAACUUGGUAACGCAGCUAACGCGUGAAGUAGACCGCCUGGGGAGUACGGUCGCAAGAUUAAAACUCAAAUGAAUUGACGG